rnacentral:rRNA from 1 species
UACGUAGGGGGCUAGCGUUGUCCGGAAUCAUUGGGCGUAAAGAGCGUGUAGGCGGUCCGGUAAGUCCGCUGUGAAAGUCGGGGGCUCAACCCUCGAAUGCCGGUGGAUACUGUCGGGCUAGAGUGCGGAAGAGGCGAGUGGAAUUCCUGGUGUAGCGGUGAAAUGCGUUGAUAUCUACAGGAACUCCGGUGGCGAAAGCGGCGUGCUGGACCUUUUCUGACGCUGAGGCACGAAAGCUAGGGGAGCAAACGGG